rnacentral:rRNA from 1 species
GAUGAACGCUGGCGGCGUGCCUAAUACAUGCAAGUCGAGCGAACGGACGAGAAGCUUGCUUCUCUGAUGUUAGCGGCGGACGGGUGAGUAACACGUGGAUAACCUCCCUAUAAUACUGGGAUAACUUCGGGAAACCGGCGCUAAUACCGGAUGAUCUUUUGAACCGCAUGGUUCAAAAGUGAAAGACGGUCUUGCUGUCACUUAUAGAUGGAUCCGCGCUGCAUUAGCUAGUUGGUACGGUAACGGCUUACCAAGGCAACGAUGCAUAGCCGACCUGAGAGGGUGAUCGGCCACACUGGAACUGAGACACGGUCCAGACUCCGACGGGAGGCAGCAGUAGGGAAUCGUCCGCAAUGGGCGAAAGCCUGACGGAGCAACGCCGCGUGAGUGAUGAAGGUCUUCGGAUCGUAAAACUCUGUUAUUAGGGAAGAACAUAUGUGUAAGGAACUGUGCACAUCUUGACGGUACCUAAUCAGAAAGCCACGGCUAACUACGUG